UCUCCGUAGGUGAACCUGCGGAGGGAUCAUUACAGAGUUCUCGCACUCGCGGGUAGAUCUCCCACCCACUGUUAUCGUUACUGUGUUGCUUUGGCGGUCCGCCGGCCCCCGCUCGGCCGCCGGCUCCGGCUGGCGCGCGCCGGCCAGAGGCCUAGCAAACUCUGAAUGUUAGUGUCGUCUGAGUACUAUAUAAUAGUUAAAACUUUCAACAACGGAUCUCUUGGUUCUG
rnacentral:misc_RNA from 1 species